AUAUCAUCAUCAUCAUAAUCACCACCAUCAUCAUCAUCCUCAAUUGUCCGAGCUCCCGUUCCACGAGAACGCCACGUCGCCUCAGCUCUCAACGAUCCUGCACCUCGCGGAUAUCGUCCUCCGAGAAGACAUGGACAAACAGCACAGCCAACAUGGGGACGAGGUAACACCAUAACAACUGCAGGAGCCAUCCCGACGUGGAACGGAGAAAACUGGAACAGCCACAGCAGGAGCCAUCACAGCCGAAGUACGCCGUCUCAACGGAGAAACAAGCACACAGCCGGGAAACUUGCAGACCAACUCUGGGCGAAAAAGUGGUCUCGCUGAGGUCAGCGAAAAGGAGCCCGAAGACGCGAAGCAGCCAUCUUGUUCUCAAGCCGAAGAACACGGAGAUGCGGCCGGAGGAAAGAACGGCGCCUGUUGCAUCGACUGCGACGAACCAGUGGGAAUGCCGGGAAAGCCGCGUGACAUCUGCAGCCAAGAUUUUGACGCAGCUGACGGCACUGCACCGCAAGCCAACCGGCAGGGCACAUCUCAGCCUGAACCAGGACCGACUGGAGGGGAGCCCUGCCGCGCGCGUCCAGACGAUAUUGUCGUCAACGGCGAGCGGCUGCAACAACUCUGCGACUUGAUUAGAGCGAUGGUAAGAGCAGUCAUCGAAGAAGAGUUGGAGUCAGUGCUGCAGGACCUACGGGAUAACAAAGGCGGUGCAUAAACCUGGCGUGGAAAGAGCAACUUGUUGGCACUUAGCAAAGCCGACGAUUGCUGUAAACUUCAUAGACAACGUUGUUUAUUUAUUAUUUUUUGAACGUGUGUGCUUGUGUGGCCACUUGAUGUGUCAAUGUCGACAGCUUUCCACAGCGACGCUGCUACGGGAACUUCCACUACCGUUUUCGUGCGUCACCGGUGAAAUCAAGCCGACGUUGGCAUGUGGAGGAGUGCCCGGUAUCACGUAAUAAAGGCAGCCAGCAAAGUAA